AUAUAAAGACCAAUCACAGAGACUCGCGGUCUCAGUCGGGUCUUUUGAGCACAUAGAAGGCGGGAACUACUCGUCCACGGAGCUGUCGCGCUUUGGCGGUGUCCAGGGUCUUGGCAAUACGGAAAUACACGAGGAUACCGAAGGCGAUGAUCUAUGGACU
rnacentral:misc_RNA from 1 species